AGCGAACGCUGGCGGCAGGCCUAACACAUGCAAGUCGAACGAACCUUUCGGGGUUAGUGGCGGCCGGGUGAGCAACCCGUGGGAACGUACCUUUAUGUUCGGCAUAACUCAGGGAAACUUGUGCAAAUACCGAAUGUGCCCUUCGGGGGAAAGAUGGAUCGGCUUUAGAGCGGCCCGCGUCUGUUUAGCUAGUUGGUUGAGGUAAUGGCUUACCAAGGCGACGAUCAGUAGCUGGUCUGAGAGGAGGAUCAGCCACAUUGGGACUGAGACACGGCCCAAACGCCUACGGGAGGCAGCAGUGGGGAAUCUUGCGCAAUGGGCGAGAGCCUGACGCAGCCAUGCCGCGUGAAUGAUGAAGGUGUUAGGAUUGUAAAAUUCUUUCGCCGGGGACGAUAAUGACGGUACCCGGUGAAGAAGCCCCGGCUAACUUCGUG
rnacentral:rRNA from 1 species